rnacentral:rRNA from 1 species
CUACCCGGGUAUCUAAUCCUGUUUGAUACCCGCACUUUCGAGCAUCAGCGUCAGUUAUGCUACAGUAAGCUGCCUGCGCAAUCGGAGUUCGUCAUGAUAUCUAAGCAUUUCACCGCUACACCAUGAAUUCCGCCUACUUCCUGCAUACUCAAGUCGACCAGUUCGCGCUGCAAGCCACCGGUUGAGCCGGUAAAUUUCACAACACGCUUAAUAGACAGCCUACGCUCCCUUUAAACCCAAUAAAUCCGGAUAACGCCCGGACCUUCCGUAUUACCGCGGCUGCUGGCAC